UUCGGACAAUGGAUGUAGAGGAAAGUGGCGGACGGGUGAGUAACGCGUGAGGAACCUGCCUUGAAGAGGGGGACAACAGUUGGAAACGACUGCUAAUACCGCAUGACGCAUAGGGGUCGCAUGAUCUUUAUGCCAAAGAUUUAUCGCUUCAAGAUGGCCUCGCGUCUGAUUAGCUAGUUGGCGGGGUAACGGCCCACCAAGGCGACGAUCAGUAGCCGGACUGAGAGGUUGAACGGCCACAUUGGGACUGAGAUACGGCCCAGACUCCUACGGGAGGCAGCAGUGGGGAAUAUUGGGCAAUGGGCGCAAGCCUGACCCAGCAACGCCGCGUGAAGGAAGAAGGCUUUCGGGUUGUAAACUUCUUUUAAGAGGGAAGAGCAGAAGACGGUACCUCUAGAAUAAGCCACGGCUAACUACGUGCCAGCAGCCGCGGUAAUACGUAGGUGGCAAGCGUUGUCCGGAUUUACUGGGUGUAAAGGGCGUGCAGCCGGGUCUGCAAGUCAGAUGUGAAAUCCAUGGGCUCAACCCAUGAACUGCAUUUGAAACUGUAGAUCUUGAGUGUCGGAGGGGCAAUCGGAAUUCCUAGUGUAGCGGUGAAAUGCGU
rnacentral:rRNA from 1 species